rnacentral:rRNA from 1 species
UACGUAGGGUGCAAGCGUUUGUCCGGAAUUAUUGGGCGUAAAGAGCUCGUAGGCGGCUUGUCGCGUCGGCUGUGAAAACCUGGGGCUCAACCCCGGGCCUGCAGCCGAUACGGGCAAGCUAGAAUUCGGUAGGGGAGACUGGAAUUCCUGGUGUAGCGGUGAAAUGCGCAGAUAUCAGGAGGAACACCGGUGGCGAAGGCGGGUCUCUGGGCCGAAAUUGACGCUGAGGAGCGAAAGCGUGGGGAGCGAACAGG